GUGAGAGGUGAGAUAACCAUUAUCUGUUCCAACUUAUGGUGGGCAGAUUAGAAUACGAUGAUUGCAGUUCACAGGAUACGUGAUUAAAGUCUCUGAGUAAUCAAGAUUUGCAAUACCCUGAUUGCUCCUAUCUGGU
rnacentral:snoRNA from 1 species